rnacentral:rRNA from 1 species
GACGAACGCUGGCGGCGUGCUUAACACAUGCAAGUCGAACGGAAAGGCCCUGCUUUUGUGGGGUGCUCGAGUGGCGAACGGGUGAGUAACACGUGAGUAACCUGCCCUUGACUUUGGGAUAACUUCAGGAAACUGGGGCUAAUACCGGAUAGGAGCUCCUGAUGCAUGGUGGGGGUUGGAAAGUUUCGGCGGUUGGGGAUGGACUCGCGGCUUAUCAGCUUGUUGGUGGGGUAGUGGCUGACCAAGGCUUUGAAGGGUAGCCGGCCUGAGAGGGUGACCGGCCACAUUGGGACUGCGGUACGGCCCAGACUCCUACGGGAGGCAGCAGGGGGGAAUAUUGCACAAUGGGCGGAAGCCUGAUGCAGCAACGCCGCGUGCGGGAUGCCGGCCUUCGGGUUGUAAACCGCUUUCGCCUGUGACGAAGCGUUAGUGACGGUAAUGGGUAAAGAAGCACCGGCUAACUACGUG